GUUGCCAUGGAGCUGCCGGCUCCAAACCACGCCGCCGGCGCCGCCGAGGGCAAUCGCCAAGGACCGCCGCCUCCCGGAGCGGCCCGGGGUUUCUGUGCCUCCGGAGCCCGAGAACCUGGGACCCAGGCCAGCCAGAGCUAAUUUCUAUCUCCCAGCAUGGAGGACGACGGCAGCCUGCUCCCCAAGGAUGAGCUUUUGGCCGAUGCCCCCCUUUUGGAAGAUGAAAGAGAUGAAUUAGAGGAUCCGGAGUUUGACAUCAAAUGUCUUCUGCAGGAAGCUGAGGAUGACGUGGACCCAGGACACAGCAGCUCAGUGAAAGAACUAGAUACUGAUGCUGAUAAAUUGAAGAAGAAAACAGCUGAGGACAGAAUGCAGGCAUUUCACCUGCGACAGAACCUGAGCGCCCUGGAUAAGAUGCAUGAGGAGCAAGAGCUUUUCAUUGAGAAGAUGAGAGGGGAGCUGCGCGCCUGUCGGCAGAGGCGGGACCUGAUCAACAAGCAGCAGGAGGCUGUGGCAGCCGAGAUCGCCACAGAGGAAGAGGCGGGCAACAUGGCCGCCGUGGGCCGUCUCCAGGCCGUGUCCAGACGCCUGUUUGCGGAGCUGGAGAACGAGAGAGACCUGCAGUCGAGGACUGAGGCCGUGCUGAAGGAGAGCGAGAACGCCAUGUGGCACAUCCAGAUCCAGGAGGGGCGACUUGAGGCCUUCCGGACAGCUGACCUUGAGGAGGUGGAGGCCACGGGGCGGCGGCUCCAGGUGCGCGCAGCUGAGCGGCUCUGCAGAGAGCAGGAGGCCCUGGGGAAAGUGGAGCGGAACCGGCUGCUGAGGAUCAGGAAGUCCCUGCAUACCCAGAAGGAGCUCGGGCUCAGGCACCAGAAGCUGCUGGAGGACGCCCGGAAGAACCACAAAGUUGCCGUGCGGUUCCUGAAGGCCUCCCUGGGAAGAAUCCGAGAGCAAGAGAAGAAGGAGGAGAUGGAGUGCCACGAGCAUAUGAGGCGACGCAUGGACGCGGUGGUGGCACUGAAGGGCAGCAUCUCCGCGAACCGGGACACCCUGCGGAAGUUCCAAGCAUGGGACCGUGCCAAGGCAGAGCUGGCAGAGCAGAGGGUCCAGGCUGAGAAGAAGGCGAUUCUGGCCCAGGGCGGGGAUGCAUUCAGGCACCUUGUCCACCAGCGCCGGCGCCAGGAGCUGGAGGCCCAGAAGAGGGCCUUUGAGGAGGAACAGAAGCUCAGAAAGCAGGAGAUUGUCAGUCGGAUUCUGAAAGAGGAGGCUGAGGAGGAAAAGAGGAAGAAACAGCGUCCCCCCACCAGUGCCAGGCACCGGCCGACCCUGAGGGACAAGACCUGGAACUACAUUUCUGACUUUUGCAAGGAGGAGACCACAGUCCCAACCAACACGUACACACUGGACUACGAGGCUGCUGCAGGCCCCGGGCCUUCUCGGUUGCUGGAAGUCGUCUCCAGUGAGCUUAUCCAGGGGGACCCCGGGGCCAGCUCAGAGGAGGAAACGUUAGCUGAGCCCGAGAUCUCUGGGCUUUGGAAUGAAGACUACAAGCCAUACCAGGUGCCCAAGGAGGAUGUGGACCGAAAGCCCGUGGGUGGGACAAAGAUGGACAAGGACAUCCUGGCGCGCACAGUGGAGCGACUGCGGAGCAGGGUGGUCCACAAGCAGGUGGUGUUGGGGCGUGAGUUCCAAGGUCGCCCCUUCAACAGCAAACCGGAGCUCCUCCACUUCAAAGACUUUGACAUUGGCAAAGUGUACAAGAAAAAGAUCACGUUGGUCAACACCACCUACACGAUCAACUACUGCAAGCUGGUGGGCGUGGAGGAGCACCUCCGGGACUUCAUCCACGUUGACUUUGACCCCCCUGGCCCCCUGUCAGCCGGAAUGUCCUGCGAAGUGCUUGUCACCUUCAAGCCCAUGAUAAACAAGGAUCUAGAAGGAAAUAUCUCAUUUUUGGCUCAGACGGGCGAGUUUUCAGUUCCACUGAAAUGUUCAACAAAGAAAUGUUCGCUGUCCCUCGACAAGGAGCUCAUUGACUUCGGCAGCUACGUGGUAGGAGAGACCACGUCUCGGACCAUCACAUUGACCAACGUUGGGGGCUUGGGCACGACUUUCAAGUUCCUGCCAGCUUCAGAGCCCUGUGAGAUGGACGACUCCCAGUCUGCCCUGAAAUUAAGCAGUCUGCUGACCUACGAAGAUAAAAGUUUGUAUGACAAAGCUGCCACCAGCUUCUCUGAGCAGCAGCUGGAGGGCACGGAGUCCUCCCAGGCGGACAUGCAGAGCCGGAAGGAGCUGGAGAAGCUGGACAAGGAGCAGGAGGAGGAGCGGCCCGCAGGUGAGCCGGGCUGCCAGGCCAAGCCAGGGUGCGCGGGCGGUGAGGGCCUCAGGGCAGCAUUGCAGGGGGCUGAGGGGCCCAGGGGAGGUCUGGAAAGUAGAGAAUUUUCCCAGGCCUUCGAUGUUAAGUGACGGUUAAGCAAGAAAAUAUUCGUAUGUGCCACUAAGUGUUGUUUUUGGAGUGGACUGAAAUGUACAUUCACGUUGACGCUAACCGAAGACUUGAAGGCACCUCCAGCAUUGGCCCAGCAGGCCGGGCGGGGCCGCACGGGGCGGGGAAGAGGCUCUGCGGUGCCCCCUGGAGAGGCCGGGCUGUGGGGGGCUUCUGUCUAGCUCUGCAGCUGUGGCUGUUGUUAGAUGCGCACCAGCGGGAAGAGGUUCGGAGAAACGGGCCGGCCCUGCCCUCCGCACGCCCUGCAGGGCCGCCAUCGGGAAUCGCUUGCGUCUCCUCCUUGCUUCUCUUGAUCGUUUUCCCACAUACGCAUCGAGAUCCAGAAACCUCCGUCCUCCUCCUGUCUGUCUUCUCGUGGUGCGUGUUCCACGCGCCCUGCAGCUCAGCGCGGAGCUGGGCCGGUUCUCCACAGCCUGUGUGAGCCGCACUUCCGGUGUGAGCCACAUUUCCGGUGUGAGCCGCACUUCCGGUGUGAGCCACAUUUCCGGUGUGAGCUGCACUUCCUGUCCUCACCACUGCGUGGCGUUUCCUUUCGUGAGAGAGCCUCGGGUUCUAGAUCCGUCUUCCUGCCAGUGCACACUUGGGAGCGUUUGUGGUACACACUGUUGCGAAGGCAGCCAUUCUGCGCUCCCCUUUGGCCUGUGUGUGAGUUCCCACAGGGCACAUGGCUGGGGCUCAUGCCUGCAUCACAGGGCAUAGCCAGCCUCACUGGCAUCAGCUAAUAUCAAAGUGAGUUCUUUUUCUAUUGAGACAGGGUCUCACUCUGUCACCUAGGCUGGAGUGCAGUGGUGCAGUCACAGCAGCCUCGACCUCCCGGGCUUAAGCAGUCCUCCUGCCUCAGCUCCUGAGUAGCUGGAACUACAGGCACGCACCACUGCACCUGGCUAGUUUUUGUAUUUUUUUGUAGACACUGGGUUUCACCAUGUUUCCCAGGCUGGUCUGGAACUCCUGAACUCAUGCUAUCUGCCCACCUCAGCCUCCCAAAGUGCUGGAUUACAGGCAUGAACCACCUCGCCCAGCCCACCAAGUUCUUUUUCAAAGUGGUUGUGCAAGUUUACACUCCCACCAACAGUGUACAAGACUGUGCUGUCCAGCGUGGCUGUCACUGCCACAUCUGGCUAUUUAAACUUAAAUUGAUCCAAAUUAAAUAAUAGUGAAAAUUCAGGUCUUCCUCCACAAGGGCCAUAUUUCACGUGCUCCAUAGCGACCUGUGGGCAGCAGCUGCCCUACUGGACAGCCCGGAAGCCCAGCUCUGCCUGCUCACAGAGGGUCUUCCCGGGCCACACUGGGCUUGAGGGCCUUGCUUCACGUCCGCAGGAGCGUGAGGUCAGACGGCCCACAGCUGCCUGUCUGGGGGGCCUGCACCACGGUCUGCUGUUGAGAUGUUGCUUUGUGAUUUCCCAGAUCACCAGUGAGAUUGCCUGUCUUUCCCUGGGCCCAUUUACAAGUUGUAUUUUCUUUGGUGUGACAGCUCUGUUUAAGGCUUUUCCUCGUUCUUCUGUGGGGUUGUCUUCUUCUCAUUCAUUCAUAGGAGCUCUUCAUGCACCCAGAUUCCAGCCUUCGUCCCUGAGGAAUGUUGCAGGUGCUGCCUCCCAGUCUGUGGCUGGGCCUUCCUCUCCCUUUGUGACAUCUUUUCUCAAAUCAAAGUUCUUCAGUCCAGUCUUUGCAUAUUCACCAGUCAUUUCUAUUAGAAUUUGUUUUUUAUGCUUUUUAGGCAAUUUUUUUCUCCUCCAGUGUCAUAAAGACAUAGGACAUCACUUUUGUGUUGAGGUGUGCGAUCCACCUCAGAUUCACUCCUGCUUGUGGUGGAAGUCAGGGCCGAGGCUCAUUUCCCCGGUGCGUGUUUGUGUAUUCCACGGCACAAGUGGACUCUGCUAUCCCAUUCGAUCCAUUCGUUGUCCGUGUCAAAAAUCAGUUGACCAGCCAGGCGCGGUGGCUCACGCCUGUGAUCCCAGCACUGUGGGAGGCCGAGGCAGAUGGAUCACUUGAGGUCAAGAGUUUGAGACCAGCCUGGCCAACAUGGUGAAACCCCGUUUCUACUAAAAAUACAAAAAAUUAGCCAGGCGUGGUGGCGGGCGCCUGUAAUCCCAGCUACUUGGGUGGCUGAGGCAGGAGAAUAGCUUGAACCCGGGAGGCGGAGGUUGCAGUGAGCUGAGAUCGUGCCAUUGCACUCCAGCCUGGUCUAUAAGAGUAAAAUGCUGUCUC
rnacentral:sRNA from 1 species